rnacentral:ncRNA from 1 species
AGGAGGGCGACCGACUGUGGGGAGGAAGCGUGGAGCAUAAACCUCGAGCCGAGGUACACGAAUCGCAUUCGAGGCGGAUCCGGUCAGGGCGAGCAGCCAAUGUCCUGCGAAGCCGUUGUGGCCUAGAGGCCGGAUACGUAAAUGCGGCGGUUGUGAGGUGAAGGAUGGUGUUC